rnacentral:rRNA from 1 species
CACCGCGGUUAUACGAGAGGCCCAAGUUGACAACUACCGGCGUAAAAUGUGGCUAAUAUAGUAUUACACUAAAGCUAAACAUCUUCAAAGCUGUUAUACGCAUCCGAAGACAGGAUGCCCUUCCACGAAAGUGGCUUUAAACAAUAUUAACCCACGAAAGCUAGGAAA